rnacentral:rRNA from 1 species
CUUAAAUAUAUAUGUUAUAUAUAUACUAUUCAUAAAAUAAUUUAUACAAAUUAAAUUACUAAUUUAAUCAUUAUAUUAUAACUAAUAUUAUUAAAAUUAUUUUUUUUUUAAAAUCAAUAUAUAUAAUUAAUUUUACUAUAAUUAAAAAUUUAUUAAUAAAUUAUUAAAUACUCAUUAAAUUCUUUUAAAUUUUAAAAUUAAUCUUUUUAAUUUUAAUUUAAAUUAUUAUAUAAAUUUAAUUUAUAGAUUAUCCCAUAAAUUAUUUAUAUUUUCUAAAAUAAACUUUUUUAUUUAAAUUUACUUUAAAAAAUAUAUAAAUUAAAUUUAAUUCAAAAAUAACUAGAUAUCAUUAAAAUUGAAUAACAUCUAAUCUCUAAAUAUAUAUUUAUAAUUUUUAUUCAACAAAAAAAAUUUUAUAUAUUUAACUCUUUUAAUUUCGAGAUAUUUAAUUUAUUAAAAAUUUUUAAAUUAACCCUGAUACAAAAGGUACAAAAUUUUACUUUAAUUUAUAAAAUUUUAAAAUUUCAUUUACAUUACUUAUAUAUAUAAAUAUAUUUAUUAUUUCUUAAAAUAUUACUUUAACAUAAAAUUUUUAUAAAAACUUUUUAUAAUAUACUAAUUAAAACAAUAAAAAAAUUUUAUUUAAUUAAUUA